UGGGGAAUUUUGGACAAUGGGCGAAAGCCUGAUCCAGCAAUGCCGCGUGUGUGAAGAAGGCCUUCGGGUUGUAAAGCACUUUUGUCCGGAAAGAAAUGGCUCUGGUUAAUACCUGGGGUCGAUGACGGUCCCGGAAGAAUAAGGACCGGCUAACUACGUGCCAGCAGCCGCGGUAAUACGUAGGGUCCAAGCGUUAAUCGGAAUUACUGGGCGUAAAGCGUGCGCAGGCGGUUGUGCAAGACCGAUGUGAAAUCACCGAGCUUAACUUGGGAAUUGCAUUGGUGACUGCACGGCUAGAGUGUGUCAGAGGGGGGUAGAAUUCCACGUGUAGCAGUGAAAUGCGUAGAGAUUUGGAGGAAUACCGAUGGCGAAGGCAGCCCCCUGGGAUAACACUGACGCUCAUGCACGAAAGCGUGGGGAGCAAACAGG
rnacentral:rRNA from 1 species